rnacentral:tRNA from 1 species
GGGUGAGUAGUUCAGUGGUAGAACGCUAUCCUGAUAAGAUAGAGGUCCGUGGUUCAAUCCCACGCUCACCCA